ensembl:lincRNA
AUUUUUUAUCUCAUCUCAAUCAAGGGAAUUAGCACCAUGCUUGCAGCUGUAUCUAAUAAAAUGCAUUAAAAUAGUAACUUACAAGUUACUUUGGUGUUGUCUUCCUAUAUAUGCUUUUAUUAGCUUGUGCUGGUGUCAUCCUGCAGUAAAUGCUUGUUAACACAUUCACUUCUACCCUUUGCUGGCAACAUGUUCUGUUUAGAAGGCAUCGUGACCUCUGAUUUGUACCAUGCAGUUUCUGGCAGGCUUUUGCCUUACUCAAAAUGACUCAUCACAAAUGCAUGUGAGCACAUGAGACCUAGAUAAACAUUAUUCAAGGGCUUGUCAUUGCUCUUAGGAUAAAAUAAUCUUUCAGUUCCCAUUACCAACAUGAUUCUCCGUACCUUGGCUCAAGUCUCCAGGCUCAUCUGAUGAUUCUGCUGCAGGAGUAUUAAAGGCCCAUGGGGCCAUGCAGCUCCUUCUUCACAAACAGUUCCUGGAUGCUGAAUGCUAUCUAUAUGCAGGCAUAGAAAAUUCAGUCUAAUCUCCCUCCAAAGAAGGAAGGACAGGAGCCUUAAAAUACCUUGGCUUUGGGCAGAUAUCCCACUGAGAACUCUAAAGCACCUUUCAGAAAGCUUCCUUGAGGGCCCAGUAAGCACGUGACUUGGCAUGCUCCCCUGCCCUGUGCUUCUACACCUUUAAUUCAUCUGCGGCAUCCCCAACUGCAAAAUUAAGAUGGCAAUGGAAACUGCCCUUCCCUACCAAUCCCAGAAAAAGCCUUGAUUUUCCUGGCCUCCAAUGUUGCCAGGAAUGCAGCAAUUCUUUUAAAGAUGGUUAAGUUGUAUCAGUCAUUACAUGGACUAAAUGCUAUGAAAUACAAGUGCACACACGUACACAUGCAUGAACAUUGUAAUGGUUAUCUACGAAGUUUUUAAAUAUCUGUUUUGAAGAUAUCGUUAUUAAAUUUUCUCCCCACCUCCCCAUCUCUGGUCAUACUGGAGCUUUAACCUAAGGCCUUAUACAUACUAGAAGACCACUCAACCACUAAGUCAUAGCUCAGUCCUCUUUUAACCAUAUUUAGUUGUCUGUUCCUUUGUUGAUUUAUUUUGUAGCUACCCCUUCUUCAAAAUAUGAACACAGUCCUGUGUGAGGUCAGCUGCCUUGCUCAGGAUCUGAGUCAAGAUAACAGCCAAUAAGAAUCCCCUCUUUUUCAAAUCAGAAUUUUUAUCAAGCUGAAAAUCAGAAAGUCUUUUCUACUGCAGAGUUAGCAUUCCUCCCCAGAGAGGAGACUGGCUUGCAGAAAUACAUAAGAAAACUGGUCAGAUAGAAAGGACAUCCGGAAUGAAACAAAGACUAAGAAUAGUAAUGGGCAUCCGAGACUCCGGUUCCAGUGGCUCUCCUUGCCUUUCUAUAAUUAGAGUAUUAGUCUCUUGUUCGAUUAUGUGACCUUAUUAGAGUCUUUCCAAUAAAUUCACUACUUUAUUCAAACUCUGUUUUCUUCAUUUAGUGCUGCUUGUAUCCAAAGGACUCCUGAAUCACAGAGAAAUAGAUGCUUGAAAGAAUAUACUCCUAAAUAUUAAUGACACUUAUCUAUGGGAUUUUUUUUCUUUUUUUACCUGUAUUUACCACUGCUUUAAAAUGAAUCCGGACUAUUUACAUAAUUUCAUGAAAGUGUGCUCUUUUUGUCAUGAUGAUUUGUCUACUUAUUUGAUUAAUAUGGAACUACUGAUCAAAGGAAUAAUGAAUAUAAUUGGAAAGAAAUUAAGUAGAUAUUAGGCUUUCGACUAGAACUAGAAUAGGAUCACAUAUUGGUGUGUUUUGCAAAUAUUUAUUGAGUCCCAAGCACUACCUGGUUCUGGUUAUGUGACUGAGCAAUGUGGACAUUCUUUCUGCUGAGCUUGUAAGCUAAAAGUGUUAUCAUUAUACCACCAACCACC